rnacentral:lncRNA from 1 species
ACUUUUUAGGUAAUAUAACCAUCACUCGUCCCCUCUCCAUCACCGGCUUGCUCCAUCACCACUUAUUGGGCCUAAAACCUACCAUACCACCUUUGUUGCCUUCAAUAAACCCGUCAAUAACCCAUGGCUUCCAUCAAAACAAUAGCCAUCAACACUCUCGCCUCUGCCUUGAACAGCUCUGUCUUUGCUACCCUCACCUUCACCUUGAACAACUUUGCCUUCGCUAAUGAUGAAGAACAACGGCCAACAACAAAUUCGGUUUGUUGGUAAUGGAGAAAGUGCAAGGUGUUGAUGGUAAUACUAUGAUGAACAACAGAUCAAGAUUUAGCCACCCUUGCCUCCACCUUGAAUAGCUUUUGCCUUCGAUAAUAAUGAAGAACAACGAUAAAGAAUACAACAACAAAUUCGGUUUGAUAUUUUCUUUUGCAGAUGGGAAUUUGAUGGUGGUGGAACAAUCUUCUUGCACUGAUGUGAGGUGGUUGAUUUUGCACGGCGGUAGAAUGGUCUUCGACGGUGAUGACUGUUUUGUUGAUUAUUUAUUUGUUAUUAAUUUUUUUAUUUGUUUAUAUUGAAUAUGUUUUCUUAUUUUUAAUUGAGCUAAUUUGGUUUUAUUUAUUUCAAAAGAAAGAAAAUAAAUGAAAGUUCGAUGUCAAUGUAUUAUUAGUCUAUAUUUUAAAUGGGUUCCAUUACUAACUGAGUAGUUAACACUAACAUUAAUUAAGGUGUAAUUGAACAUUUUCAAUUUGGUUAAUGGCUUUAUUUUGUACCUUUUGCCAAAAAUAAAUAAGAAAAGGUAAUGCAGAUUAAACAAUAGACUAGUAUUGCCGAAAAUAACGUGUGAUGAACUGGUAUCUGUCUCAAUUCUUUUGACCCCUUUCAUCCCAAUCCUUUUUUAAUGCACGUUCCAAGCAUAAUCGACAAUUAAAACUAAUCUCCACAUAACUGAGAGGGAAUCACGCAAAUUCAUUUAAGACAAAACACAAAAUUCCAUUAAAAAAGGAACACAUCGCCGCAGCCAGCAGCUCCAACUAUAUUCCACUGCUCUAUUAUUGUACAAUAAAUAAUUAGAGAGAAAUGCUUUAGAUGUUUUAGCUAAAAGGUUUCUGAUUUUGACAAUCUAAGUUAGGUCCAGUACCCACAUUGAACAACUUAGCAUAUCUCUGAAAAUAUCCAAUACGAUCAUUAACCCUACUGUCGUUAGGAAUUCCACACUCGAGGCCACCAUUGAUUAUGUUGGUCACCAAUCCAUAUCCUGCUGUCCUGUUAGCCGCCAAGUCUGCUUUUGUAGGGACAUAUUUUCCUACCAUCACUCUGUGGCAAGAGGGCUUAGGCUUCUGCUCCGUCAUCCAAAACCAAAGACCUGUUUUGAACGCAAUUAAGGAGUUGUUUGAUACUAUUUCUGGGUUCUUCAAUCCAUCAAACCCUAAGGCCUUGCCAGCUGGUCCGUAGUUGAAAUUCCUGCAACAAUAUGUCACAUCACAUAUAAGUUGAUGUAGCAUAUAAAGUAUGUAAUAUAAAUACGUUUUCAGUGAGAAACAUGUUCAUGCAUAUGACUUCUUAUUAAUCAUUUAUUUGAUAUUUAAUAGUGACAUUCAUGUUAUCACCAAAUUAUUUUACUUAUAUAUAUUGCGCAAGUAAUGAUACAUUACCAUGAUAGUUGAAUGGGUCCUCUUCCUUUGUAAGAUUUUCCAGGGAAACAAGGCCAUUGAGUAUUGGUUGAGUCACAAUAAUCACUUUGAGGACUCACUUCUUCCUUGAAGCACAGACCCCAUGCAAAUGGUCCAUCAGGUGCAGUAGCCCACCCACCAGUUGUCUCAUGGGAUAUUUGAGCAAGAAAAGCAGCAAUCUCUCUCUUUCUUGUUGCCAAACUUCCUGUAUUGCCAAAUCUUGGGAAACAUCUUGUCGCCUGAAUAAAUGAAUCAUAAGUGUAAAAAUCUUUUGCAGGGCAUGCGGUAUCGUCCUUGUGUAGAAAUAUGGAAUCAAAGAGAUCUUUAGUGAUUAGAGAAGAAAUGGG